rnacentral:rRNA from 1 species
AUUGAACGCUGGCGGAAUGCUUUACACAUGCAAGUCGAAUGGCAGCACGGACUUCGGUCUGGUGGCGAGUGGCGAACGGGUGAGUAGUGUAUCGGAACGUGCCCAGUCGUGGGGGAUAACGUAGUGAAAAUUACGCUAAUACCGCAUACGAUCUAUGGAUGAAAGCGGGGGAUCGCAAGACCUCGCGCGAUUGGAGCGGCCGAUAUCAGAUUAGGUAGUUGGUGGGGUAAAGGCCCACCAAGCCAACGAUCUGUAGCUGGUCUGAGAGGACGACCAGCCACACUGGAACUGAGACACGGUCCAGACUCCUACGGGAGGCAGCAGUGGGGAAUUUUGGACAAUGGGCGAAAGCCUGAUCCAGCCAUUCCGCGUGCAGGAUGAAGGCCCUCGGGUUGUAAACUGCUUUUGUACAGAACGAAAAGGUUUCUACUAAUACUAGGAGCUCAUGACGGUACUGUAAGAAUAAGCACCGGCUAACUACGUGCCAGCCGCCGCAGUAA